AUGGUUCAGACAUUUGUCUAUGAAUGGUUAUGCAUUAUACAGAGUCUGAAUGGCUCUUAUUUAUCUCUGACCGGGUCAUACAUUGGAAGAAGUCUGACUCUCACUGAAUGAAAUUUUUCACAAAAUACCCUUUGCCCUAAAGAAGAAACCUGUUCUUCCUCUCCCUCUUCACAGACGCCUCCAUCUCCAUCUCCACCUCCACCUCCUUCCUCCACACACUCUGGUCUCCUCGACGGCUCGAAGAAAGAAAGGCCGGCCACCACCGGGGGUGGCGGCGCACGGCAGGGGUUAAGAGAGAGAAACAUCGAAGAGCGGGAGAGAACGAAAGGGGGAGAAGGGGAGCCGCCCAAUCUCCGGUGACAGCGCCGCCGCUCACGGCGGCGGAGGUGGUGGGUUUUGAAGACGAUGAUGACGGCAGUUCUUGUUGUGUUGAUGACGGCAGUUCUUGUUGUGUUGUAAUCACAACAAGAUCAAUUAGCAAAUAAUCACAUCAAGAAGUAAAGAACUGGAAGCAUUUUAUGAACAUAAAUGGAUGAUUAAAGACCUAAAAUUGUGAGAUGAAAGAGUAAUGAAAAGCAAAGGAUGAUUAAAGACAUAAAUAGACAGCCGGAAGAAGUGGGGCAAAGGUCAUUCAGAUCUCACUUUAGAAAUAGUUUAUAGAGGGGUAAAAAUGUCAUUUUACAUGGUCAUUCAGAGGGGCAACCAAACAGCACUUUACUGGUUCAGCACUUAUUAGUUCAGACCUCUUACCCAUUCAGAUCUCUUAUUCAUUCAGCACUUAUUGGUUCAGAUGUUACCAAACAGCCCCUAAGACUUAUAAUUUGAAUUCGUCAGACAUUUGCCUCUGAACGGUUAACCAUUAUACAUGCUCCUAAUGGUUCAGACCUCUUACCGGUUCAGCACUUAAUGGUUUAGACCUCUUACUGGUUCAGCACUUAACCAUUCAGAUGUUGGCAAACAGCCCCUAAGAUUAUGUUUCCCUGAUGAACUUUGUGCUAAUUUCAAUUAUUAGACUUGUUUAUACCUACAGAGUAU
rnacentral:lncRNA from 1 species